UCCUCAGUGCCUGCCCUGGUAGGUGCAGCCCAGUGCUCCCAUAAGUUAUCCCUCCCCUGUGCCACUGCGGGCAUUAGUGGUGGUCUCACCCACCACAUCACAAGAGGAAUCUUAAAUCAUCCCACCAGAAGAAGUUGCAGAUGAGAUCCCAGCAGCUGACAGUGGCAGCAGAAGAAAAUGAAGCAAAAACCUUUUCCAGGACACGAGACAGGUGAGGCAGCCAGGCUGUGAAACUGCCCCGGAAGCUCCACAGCAGGACCCUCAGCCCACUCCUGGAGCACCAUAAACCUUACAUGAAAGGAACAGCCUUACAGCAUUGCCACAUCCUGGAGGGAUGUCACUGUUAGCACUCACUGCAUAUGGAUCACCAAAGUUACUGUCUGUGUGUACAACAAAAAGGAGGCUGGCAGGGAGGACACUGAAGUGCAAGGCACAAGAAAGAGAAGGUCCCCAAUGGACGGAGGAAGCCACAGUGCCCACAAAGAGCCAUUCUGGAGCUCAGACAAUGCCCACAUCCUCAUAGCCCAAAGUCUUUUUAACUCUUCUCUCUGUCUGAGUGGCAGGCAAGAAGUAACCUCAAUGAUUGCAUUUCUUUGUGUGACCCCAUCUAAAACUUUCUGCAUCAGAUAAACAACUCCCAAGGGUCAAUUAACAUGUCUUGAGAUGAUUAGAGUCUGACACUGAUGAAACCCAGCAGUAAUUAGCAAAUUAAAAAAAAAAAACCUUUUGAUUAGUACUCAGCAUAAUUCCCUCCAAUUAUUCAAAGUUCAUGACUACAGGGGGUGGAAUAUCUCCAGGAAUAUUUAUUUAUAUCCCUAUU